rnacentral:rRNA from 1 species
CCUACGGGAGGCUGCAGUGGGGAAUAUUGCACAAUGGGGGAAACCCUGAUGCAGCGACGCCGCGUGAGUGAAGAAGUAUUUCGGUAUGUAAAGCUCUAUCAGCAGGGAAGAAAAUGACGGUACCUGAUCACUCAGGCCCGGCUAACAACGUGCCAGCAGCCGCGGUCAUACGUAGGGGGCAAGCGUUAUCCGGAUUUACUGGGUGUAACGUGAGCGUAGACGGCGGCACCAGUCUGUAGUGAAGUGCCGGGGCUUAACCCCGGAACUGCUUUGGAAACUGGGAGGCUGGAGUGCAGGAGAGGUAAGUGGACUUCCUAGUGUAGCGGUGAAAUGCGUAGAUAUUAGGAGGAACACCAGGGGCGAAGGCGGCUUACUGGACUGUAACUGACGUUGAUGCUCGAACGCGUGGGGAGCAAACAGGAUUAGAUACCCUGGUAGUC